rnacentral:rRNA from 1 species
UCCCUACGGGAGGCAGCAGUGGGGAAUAUUGCACAAUGGGGGGAACCCUGAUGCAGCGACGCCGCGUGAGUGAAGAAGGAUUUCGGUAUGUAAAGCUCUAUCAGCAGGGAAGAAAAUGACGGUACCUGACUAAGAAGCCCCGGCUAACUACGUGCCAGCAGCCGCGGUAAUACGUAGGGGGCAAGCGUUAUCCGGAUUUACUGGGUGUAAAGGGAGCGUAGACGGCAAGACAAGUCUGAAGUGAAAAUCCAGCGCUUAACGUUGGAAGUGCUUUGGAAACUGCCGGGCUAGAGUGCAGGAGGGGG